rnacentral:misc_RNA from 1 species
GAUGAAGAACGCAGCGAAAUGCGAUAAGUAAUGUGAAUUGCAGAAUUCAGUGAAUCAUCGAAUCUUUAAACGCACAUUGCGCCCCUUGGUAUUCCGAGGGGCAUGCCUGUUCGAGCGUCAUUAUAACCCCUCAAGCUCAGCUUGGUGUUGGGGCCUGCCGCACGGGCAGCCCUUAAAAUCAGUGGCGGUGCCAUCUGGCUCUAAGCGUAGUAAUUCUUCUCGCUAUAGAGUCCCGGUGGAUGCUUGCCAUUAACCCCCAAUUUUCUAUGGUUGACCUCGGAUCAGGUAGGGAUACCCGCUGAACUUAAGCAUAUCAAUAAGCGGAGGA